AUUGAACGCUGGCGGCAGGCCUAACACAUGCAAGUCGAGCGUGCGGCGGCCGGGGGAGUAAUGUAUGGGGACUGCCCGAUAGAGGGGGAUAACUACUGGACACGGUAGCUAAUACCGCAUACUAUCGGAUAACCCAUAUGGGAUUAGCUAGUAGGUGGGGGAAUGGCUCACCUAGGCGACGAUCCCUAGCUGGUCUGAGAGGAUGAUCAGCCACACUGAGACUGAGACACGGCCCAGCCUCCUACGGAGGCAGCAGUGGGGAAUAUUGCACAAUGGGCGCAAGCCUGUUGCAGCCAUGCCGCGUGUAUGAAGAAGGCCCUAGGGUUGGAAAGUACUUUCAGUCGGGAGGCGUUACCGACAGAAGAAGCACCGGCUAACUCCGUGCCAGCAGCCGCGGUAAUAC
rnacentral:rRNA from 1 species